rnacentral:lncRNA from 1 species
UGUACCCUAAAACUUAAAGUAUAAUAAUAAUAAAAAAAAGGAAAAAGGAGAAAAACAGUUUAAGGGGCAAAAAGGGGGGAGAUUCUGGGGGAAGAACCCCUUGCUUAGUGCAACUGCGUCCCUCUAAUUCUUAUAACUUUCCCAUCCUUUCCCCAGUUCAGACCAGGUUGAAUUCCUUGGCCAGGGGAGGAAAGGUUCCCUUGGCACACUUGACCAACGCGCUCCCUGUAGGGUCCCGGCUACCCCCUCGGCUUCCUCCCGCCCGGUUCGUGGCUGUUGGGCUUGGCCUUUGCCUGCCGUGGGCACGCCCAGGUGCCCGAGCUGGGAAGGGGAAGAAUAAGGAGAGGUGCCCAGAGCCGUGUGUGCCUGCGGCUCUCGAGGUAGAGGCAUACAUGGCACCUCUAGGAAAAAUUGGUCUGAUUUGCACCUUUGGCGGCUGAGCCAAAUACUCAUUCUACUUAGUAACAUUGCCGCAGCCUGUAGCAAAACUCUUAACAUUAUAAAGGAGAUAAGAGCCAUUUUUAAACCGUGUGAGAGAGAAAAAAGAGAUGAAAGGAAAACAGCCUCUUACCCACAAGAAAGACAGGUGGUAGGGUUUUCGAAGGCAGACAUUCAC